UGCCUUUUGUGUUACCCAUUCUUUGCACUUACCCUAAAGAAUGCGGCGUCAACAAAGGCAUACAGUAAAACCUUUGGUUUGGCCUUUACAAGGUGACUUCUCUUUGUCUCAAGCUCAAACCAAUU